CUUUCUUUAGUCGCACUACACGAAUGUGGAAUGCUUUAUUAAUAGUAAUAAGGAGCGCAUAUUAUACAAAAAAAGAACUCAACAAUGGUGAUUAUAUGGUUCGCAAGUAAGAAACUAUAUUUUCAAUACUCCAAAAAGUUUUUGCUACAGUCCAAAGUAAGAGGACUUUCUAGAAAAUUUUAGUGACUUACAAAAUGAAGCUCCCCAUUAAAUUUCAGCUUUGUGAUUUCUUGGGCUACAAUUGUUAUUUGUAAACAAAAAAUUCCAGUAUAAUAAUUUAGUUAACAAAUAUAUUUUUUUUUAAAUUGCUAUUAUAAAAAAAAACAGCCACUGUUAUUUUUUUGUUUUUCUUGACAGCAGCUGAUAUUUAAAUUUGUUGAACCAAAUUUAUUUUAAGUCGAUAAAUUAAUUCGAUAAACAAUUUGAAUGUGCAAACAAGAUUAAGUAUUAAAAGGUUAAUAAAACUUAUCACAGUUAUAUGUACUUGAAAUCAAAGGCAUAUGUAGAUCGUUAAAAUUAUAUCGAAUUCCAGUUUUCAAAACAUUUCUUCAUUCUACAUUCAUAAAUUAAUAAUUUUGUAUUCAUACCAUUUUUGUAUAAAAGGAGAAAGAUUAUUUGAUAAUGUCAUCAGUCGAUUUUUGUUAAACAAUCAACAAUCACCUAAAAAAUCAACAUGAAGUUCUUCAUCUUUUUUGCCUUGUUCAUUGUUGCCGUUAGUGCUGGAAGUCUUCCCAUUAUUUCAAGUUAUGGUGGAGCUAGACCCCCCGCGGCCAUUACUACAGUAGUUAGGCCUGUAGCUGUGGUUACUACUACAAAUAUUCAAAAGCCAGUUUUACUAACAGGUCAUUAAAAUUUAAAUGUUUUUAAGAUUGCAAACAAUCAAAAUUGGCAAUCAAAAAUGUUUCUUGUUAUAAAAUUGGAUAAACAAAUGAUUUGAACAGAAAAUAAAUUUUAUCUAAGUUAUCAGCAUUCUUAAAA